UUUAAGGUCUAGCCUGCCCACUGAUUAUUUGAAUGGCCGCGGUAUCUUGACCGUGCAAAGGUAGCAUAAUAAUUAGUUUUUUAAUUGAAAGCUGGAAUGAAUGGUUGAACGAGAAAAAUACUGUCUCUAUCCAAGUUGACUUAGAAUUUUACCUUUAAGUAAAAAGGCUUAAAUUUAUUUGAAAGACGAGAAGACCCUGUGGAGUUUUAUAUUCAUUUUUAUUUCUUUUUCUUAGGCAUCAUUUAUUGAGAAACAUAAAUUAAUAUUUAAUUGGGGUGAUUAGAAAAUUGAAUAAACUUUUCUUUAAAGUUUGAACGUGAAUUAAUGGAUGGUUGAUCCACUUAUUAGUGAUUAAAAGAUUAAAUUACCCCAGGGAUAACAGCGUAAUUUUUCCUGAGAGUUCUUAUCGAAGGAAGGGUUUGCGACCUCGAUGUUGGAUUAAAGU
rnacentral:rRNA from 1 species